AGGACGAACGCUGGCGGCGUGCUUAACACAUGCAAGUCGAGGGGGCCCGCAAGGGUCACCGGCGAACGGGUGCGUAACACGUGAGCAACCUGCCACAGAGUGGGGGAUAGCCGGCCCAACGGCCGGGUAAUACCGCAUACGAUCCUCUCGGGACAUCCCGUAAGGAUGAAAGAUUUAUCGCUCUGUGAGGGGCUCGCGGCCUAUCAGCUAGUUGGUGCGGUAACGGCGCACCAAGGCGACGACGGGUAGCUGGUCUGAGAGGAUGGCCAGCCACAUUGGGACUGCGACACGGCCCAGACUCCUACGGGAGCAGCAGUGGGAAUCUUGCGCAAUGGGCGAAAGCCUGACGCAGCGACGCCGCGUGGGGAGAAGGUUUCGGAUCGUAAACCCUGUUGCCCGGACGAAUCCCUGCUUUGGCAAGGUUGACGGUACGGUGAGGAGCACCGGCUAACUCCGUGCCAGCAGCCGCGGUAACUCGAGACGGCGGUCGCGACGACGGCGA
rnacentral:rRNA from 1 species